GCCCGCCUAGCUCAAUCGGCUAGAGCGUCAGACUUUUAAGACUAGUUGAGUCUAUCUGAAGGCUGCGAGUUCGACCCUCGCGGUGGGCU